rnacentral:rRNA from 1 species
CACUCCUACGGGAGGCAGCAGUGGGGAAUUUUGGACCAUGGGCGAAAGCCUGAUCCAGCAAUGCCGCGUGAGUGAAGAAGGCCUUCGGGUUGUAAAGCUCUUUUGUCAGGGAAGAAACGGUGAAAGCUAAUAUCUUUUGCUAAUGACGGUACCUGAAGAAUAAGCACCGGCUAACUACGUGCCAGCAGCCGCGGUAAUACGUAGGGUGCAAGCGUUAAUCGGAAUUACUGGGCGUAAAGCGUGCGCAGGCGGUUUUGUAAGUCUGAUGUGAAAUCCCCGGGCUCAACCUGGGAAUUGCAUUGGAGACUGCAAGGCUAGAAUCUGGCAGAGGGGGGUAGAAUUCCACGUGUAGCAGUGAAAUGCGUAGAUAUGUGGAGGAACACCGAUGGCGAAGGCAGCCCCCUGGGUCAAGAUUGACGCUCAUGCACGAAAGCGUGGGGAGCAAACAGGAUUAGAUACCCCUGUAGUCCCA